rnacentral:rRNA from 1 species
ACGGGUGAGUAACACGUGGGAACGUACCUUUAGGUUCGGAACAACUCAGGGAAACUUGAGCUAAUACCGGAUAAGCCCUUCGGGGGAAAGAUUUAUCGCCUUUAGAGCGGCCCGCGUUAGAUUAGCUAGUUGGUGGGGUAAAGGCCCACCAAGGCUACGAUCUAUAGCUGGUCUGAGAGGAUGAUCAGCCACACUGGGACUGAGACACGGCCCAGACUCCUACGGGAGGCAGCAGUGGGGAAUCUUGCGCAAUGGGCGAAAGCCUGACGCAGCCAUGCCGCGUGAAUGAUGAAGGUCUUAGGAUUGUAAAAUUCUUUUAGCAGGGACGAUAAUGACGGUACCUGCGGAAAAAGCCCCGGCUAACUUCGUGCCAGCAGCCGCGGUAAUACGAAGGGGGCUAGCGUUGCUCGGAAUUACUGGGCGUAAAGGGAGCGUAGGCGGGUUAUCAAGUUGGAGGUGAAAGCCCAGGGCUCAACCUUGGAAUUGCCUUCAAAACUGGUAACCUAGAGUAUGGAAGAGGUAAGUGGAACUCCGAGUGUAGAGGUGAAAUUCGUAGA